rnacentral:lncRNA from 1 species
GCCCCCGCCCCCGCUGCCCCUCCCUGUGUGCUCGGGUCCAUCCCGUCACCGCCCAUUGGCCCUGGGUCAGUGCAGGGGCACCGGCCUGGCUGCGGUUCCGAGUCGGGCGCGCGCCGGCAGGGUUCCCAUUGCCAGCGGCGCAGCCAGACUAGGGGCUGCCCUCCGCCUUCUCGCCAUGGACGCGGACGACUCCCGGGACACCAAGGGCUCCUUGCGGAAGUUCCUGGAGCACCUCUUCGGGGCCCGCAAGGCCAUCGGCGUGCUGACCAGCGGCGGGGAUGCUCAAGGACGCAAGGAUUGAGAACAAUGGACUUUUUGAUGUGUGUUGCAACAAACGCAUAGCCGAGGGUUGUAAAUCGGAGGGAUCACCAGGUCUGCCUACCAGCCACCAGGCAAGUGGGGAGAAGCUGUCACCCCAACUUGAGUUUCAAGAAGACUCCUUGGAAGAAAAGACCACCAAAUUGAGAAUGAAAAGAUCAUACACGGGGGUCGUCAGACAUGGUCUGAGACCUGCUGGGAAGAACAGCAGCCUGGCCCUGCUACCCCCUGGCUUCUGCUCACAGCACUGACCCCAGCUAAUCCAAGAACAUGUCACCUAUAAUGAGAAUAUUGAAGAAAAAUCAACCAUCUUCCAGAUGUGUCUAUAUCAUGAUACGGUACAUGGGUAAGGUAAGCUGAACACAACAUAAAAAAGAAAACUUACAAACGCUCCCUUCAUCUCAUUAAAGAUGACUCCUUUAAAGACCAAGGGCAUCUGGGGGUCGCUAGGAUUCUCAUGUUCCAGCCGCCAUCCUUCUUGCCUCAGGACAAAUAAUUAUAAGCUGACAGUGACUCAAACACUAAAGUCUGUAUCAACUAGUUAAUCACUUAUGACAUACCAGAAAUCCAGCUCACCUAAACCUGGGAAAAAGGUGGCAUCCAAAUACACUGAGAGGAGAUCCUGAAAGUCCUUGGGAUUUUGUGUGGAAAAUGCAUACAGAGUAUAAUCACUAGCUGGGUACAAAUGAAAAGUGAAAUUGUAAAAUUUAACAGAUUUCUACUAAAAUUAUUGAAUCUCAAGCCUCAUUUCCCCUUUGUCCUAGGACAGUAAGUUGUAGCUAUUCUUGAGAUGGGGCAGUGGCUCCAUGCUCUGGCCCCCGACCUCAGCAGCUGUCCCAGCUCAUCACCCUGAGUGCCAGCUUUCCCAUCUCAUCUCAGGAUCUGCACUGGACGGCACCAGGGCUUUCUUCAGCGAACAUCUAAACUCUCUCAAGUGUCUCCAGAGACUUUCACAUGUCUACAAAGAUGACCUCAUUCUGUAACAGCAUGGAUUUAACUUGCUCUUCGAUGUCACUCCUUCACAGAGUGCACUGUUCAUCGUCACCCUAUCCGCUAGCGUCAGUCUUACUAAAAGUCAAACAUCAAUGUUAGUGGUAACUCUGGAGGCCUGGCAUUGUAGUGAUAUCCCCAAGAGAAAAUUGUUUUGAACCUUUCUGGGAAAAGUUCAUGUACCUUUUAUUCAAACGCUAGUUUUUAUAAUCUCGCUACCAUGUGGCUUUCCUGAAGGAUGAAAUUUCUAAUGUCCUUCAGGUAGAGAGAGGUAAAAAGUAUUCUAGAACAUUAAUUGCCCACUCCUCUCAUCCCUUCUCAGAAACUAACUGAAUUCCAGUGGGUGUGCCUGGCAAACCCAAACACGGUUUUCCGUUCAGGAUGCUGGUCUUACCUGUGAAGGCGUUCAUGAACGUGGAGAGGUACCGGUUCAACAUUUUGAAGAAAGGGUCUCUGCAUGGGUAUUUCCGAGACCCACAAAGGAUGGUAUGCUCAAGAAUGUGAGGAACAUCGGUACUGUCCACGGGAGUGGUGCGGAACUGCACGCUAGGGAAGAAGGAACUGCACGCCAGGGAAGGGGGAGGAACAAGGAACAGAAGGCCAGCGACGGGGAGAAACAGAACGCUAGGGAAGGAGAAUGACUAGAAUACAAAACGUUCAUCUUAGUGCUGUGGACACAGUUCCCAGACGCAUCAUCACCUCGGGCUACUAGAAAUCAUUCUGACACCACAAUCCUCCAACCCAGGGUUUCCCAACUGUAAUGUAAAUCAUUGAUUCAGACUAUAAAAUUAUAUUUUGAUGAGAUUGUAAGUCCGUGUAAGCUUUUCCUUAUUUUUCAAGAUGCUCUGUCAAUAAAAAUACUAGUGAGAUGAUAUUUCAACCACGUAACAUACAGUCAGUGCUUUAAACCAAGCUUGUCUAACCCACAGCCUGCAGUCCGCAUGCUCAGGAUGGCUUGGAAUGCAUCCCAACACAAUCCCUACACUUUCUUAAAACAUUGAGGUCCUCUAUUUAUUUUUUUUUAGCUCAUCAACUGUCCUUAGUGUUAGUGUAUUUAGUGUGUGGCCUAAGACAGUUGUUCUUCUAAUGUGGCACAGGGAAGCCAAAAGAUUGGACAUCCUUGAUUUAAAUAAAACAUUCAAGACCAUGUUCUUACAAUGCACCACGUACCUGAACAGAUUGUUCGUGUCUUCUCUGGCCAGGUGUAAAUACCUGGCUCCUCUGUCAUCGUGGCUGAGCUUCAUGGCCGUCAGGAACAGCUCGGGAACAGAUGUCACCUGAGUUAACCAGAAAAACACGAGCAGUUAAAUGUAGACAAAAUAGCCGUGAAAUGGUGAUCUUCGACACACUGAGAAAACUGGCUUUUCUGCCUGAAAUUAGAUGAUACCGGGAAGCCAGUAUUUCAGAGCUGCAGAGAACAGAACCGUCCUGUCCAAGUCCCUUAUCCUACAAACAAGGAAAGUAAGACCUAAAGAAGGCAAAUGAGAAUGUGUGUGUAUAAAUGUAUAUUUUUGAGUGCUUAUUACUGGCUAGGUAUUUUCCAUUUUUUUUAUUUUUAAAUUUUUUAUUCUGUUUUGGCUAGGCAUUUUCUAAUCAUGUCACAUAGAAUCCUGUGAGGGAGGUAGUCUCAUCCUCAUUUACAGAUGAAAAAACUGAGGCUCAGGGUGAUGAAACAAGCUGCCCGAAUCAGAGCCAGGAUUCACCCUGGUGUCUGCCCUUCCCACGGUACUGUGCUGCACCUAAAUAACACAGCACCCUUUCCAACGCCUGCUGAGUGCCUCCUGCUUUUGUGUACUGCACCUCAGUAACACAGCACCCCUUCCAACAUCGGCUGUGUGCCUCCUGUUUCUGUGCAUAUAAUCUCCUGUAGUGCGAAGCACGGGCCUGCAGGAGGGGCAAUGCUGGAGUGGGCUACCGGCGACAGUGGGGAGAGGGUCCAGGAUCAGCCUUGCUUCUCCUAGUUUGGGAUGGAUUCUCGGUGGUAGCUGUAAGCACAAAGCUGGGGCUUCCAGAAGAGCUGGAGGGGCUGGGAGGAUAGAAAUGCCCCCCAAAAAGAUGAAAGACUCCCCACUCCUGGGGCAGGGUGGAAGGUCUUCUCCUACCUUAGGCAAGCCUCCUGGUAAGUGUCCAUACUCUUUGGUAUGAAAGAAACUGUCUUCUCUUCCAGUCAUGCCAGCCGACCCAGCCCUCUCCCUCAAUCACAUACCAUGUCCCUGUGAUCACCACAACACGUGCCACCCCCUCCGUCCAGGUGCCAUGAGUCACCUGGCCAAGCGCACACAGCAAGUCGCUGGCAGAGGUGAGACCUCGGGUCUCCUCAGCCCAAUCUAGGGAGCCUGCCAUCCAACAGUCAUGCAUAAAGCGGCCCACUAUGACCUGCAUCAUCUACCGCUGUUAAAUUACUUGUUUCCAAGCUUACCGUACUUUGUAUCAGAUGAUCAAUGCAUUUAAAAUCAGCAGAUACAGUGAGAUGUCUGCUUUCUAAUAAUAUAUAGCUUUAAUAAUAAUAGCGUUCAUGGUAGCUAUUUCUCAAACAAGAAACAUGACUUAUCGUAAGUUUCUAUGGCUGGACACAGUGGCUCACACCUUUAAUCCCAGCACUUUGGAAGGCCAAGGUGAUAUGGUUUGGCCUCGUCCCCACCCAAAUCUCAUCUUGAAUUGUAGUUCCCAUAAUCUCCACAUGUUGUGGGAGGGACCUGGUAGGAGGUAAUUGAAUCAUUAGGGGGGUUCCCCCAUGUUAUUCUCAUGACAGUGAGUAUGUUCUCACGAGAUCUGAUGGUUUUAUAAGGGGCUUCCCCCUUCACUUGUCAUUCUCUUCCAUACCACCCUGUGAAGAGGUGCCUUCCACCAUGAUUGUAAGUUUCCUGAGGCCUCCCCAGCCAUGCAGAACUGUGAGUCAAUUAAACCUCUUUACUUUUUAGCUCAUUCAUUAUAAAUUAUCCAGUCUUGGGUAUUUCUUCAUAGCAGUGUGAGAUUAGACUAAUACACAAGACAAGAGGAUUGCCUGAACUCAGGAGUUUGAGACCAGCCUAGACAACAAAGUUUCC